rnacentral:rRNA from 1 species
CAGUCGCCGCGGUAAUACGGAGGAUCCAAGCGUUAUCCGGAAUCAUUGGGUUUAAAGGGUCCGUAGGCGGUCUUGUAAGUCAGUGGUGAUAGCCCAUCGCUCAACGGUGGAACGGCCAUUGAUACUGCAGGACUUGAAUUAUUGGGAAGUAACUAGAAUAUGUAGUGUAGCGGUGAAAUGCUUAGAGAUUACAUGGAAUACCAAUUGCGAAGGCAGGUUACUACCAAUUGAUUGACGCUGAUGGACGAAAGCGUGGGUAGCGAACAGGAUUAGAUACCCCCGUAGUCCCUGUCUCUUAUAC